GUCCCCUUGCGUCUAGGAGCCGGGACACCGCCUUUCACGGCGCGGUAACAGGGGAGUUCGAAUCCCCUAGGGGACGCCA
rnacentral:tRNA from 1 species